rnacentral:tRNA from 5 species
GCGACUCACGUAUUAUGGGUGGGUACAACGCGUUGCCAACGCGCAGGGUCGGGUUCGAGUCCCGAGAGUCGCUCCA